rnacentral:lncRNA from 1 species
CGGGGGAAGAAGGGAGAGGCAGGGCACGAUCGAUCUAACAAGGGGAAGGGCGAUCUGUGGGGCACAAUGGUGAGGAAGGAAAAAGGGAGGCCAGGAUGGUGGGACGCUGGCUCCAAGAGCCAACUGGCAGCACUAGGGAAGAAAGAGAGCUUGGGAACUGUCGAUCCGACAUGGGGAUGGUGGAUCCGAGGUGGGGACGACGGUGUGAGGCUGAGGGGAGGAGGC